rnacentral:rRNA from 1 species
CACGUAGGGCGCGAGCGUUGUCCGGAAUUAUUGGGCGUAAAGAGCUCGUAGGCGGCCUGUUGCGUCCGCUGUGAAAGCCCGGGGCUUAACCCCGGGUCGGCAGUGGAUACGGGCAGGCUAGAGGUAGGUAGGGGAGAAUGGAAUUCCUGGUGUAGCGGUGAAAUGCGCAGAUAUCAGGAGGAACACCGAUGGCGAAGGCAGGUCUCUGGGCUGUAACUGACGCUGAGGAGCGAAAGCAUGGGGAGCGAACAGG